UACGUAGGAGGCAAGCGUUGUCCGGAAUUACUGGGCGUAAAGCGCGUGUAGGUGGUGGGACAAGUCUGCUGUGAAAGCGCCUGGCUUAACCGGGCGAGGUCGCGGAAACUGUUCGACUCGAGGACGGUAGAGGGGGUGGAAUUCCCGGUGUAGUGGUGAAAUGCGUAGAGAUCGGGAGGAACACCUGUGGCGAAGGCGGCUCACUGGACCGGUACUGACGCUGAUGCGCGAAAGCGUGGGAGCAAACGGGG
rnacentral:rRNA from 1 species